UUAGUUAGAAUUGGAAUGACUUCGUCUAUUCAAAUAAUGUGUAGAAAAACUUUAAGAACAAAACUUGAUCAAAUAUAUCUCGAAAUGAAAACAGCUCUUGAAAACAAAUUGGCUCAAAUUGAAAUAGUUGCAACUACAGCGGAUCUGUGGAGCAAAGCAAAAAGAUUNUUCAAACUUUUAUAAAGUUUUUUAGGAAUAACAGUCCAUUGGAUUAAUCNCGAAAAUUUAAGUAGAGAAUCAGCUGCACUGGCUUGCUGCAGAAUGAAAGGAAAACAUACAUAUGAUACUUUAGCUAAAGCAAUUAAUUCCGUAUUUUUACAGUAUCAUAUUCAAAAUAAGAUAUGCUGCACGACAACCGAUAACGGAUCAAAUUUUGUUAAGGCUUUUCGAGUUUUUGAAAAAGAUGAAGAUGAGGAUUCUGAAGACAUAGAAUUUCAUAAUCUAAGUNAUUUAUUAAUAACGGCCGACACAGAAGAUACAAAUGCUGCAGAUUUGAUCAUUCUUCCACCGCAUCAUAGGUGUGUUAGUCACACGUUGAAUCUCAUUCAACGGUGAAAGAUUCAGAAAAANCUUUAGAUAAUAAUAAUUUAUACAAAAAAAGUACAGAACAACAUUUGCUAAAUUAUCANAAUUAUGGAGUAAACAAAAUCAAUCACCACAGGUAGCAGAUAAAAUUAAAGAAUAUUGUGGUGUAUAUUUAAAAACUCCUGUUGCGUUACAAGGUGGAAUUCUACUUUCGAUUCAGUACUUNAGUUGGUAACGCUUUUAAAAAGUGACACAGAAAAAAUAAAUAAAUGUUUAGAUUAUUGCGAUUUACAGAGAUUAACUGAUGAUGAAAUUAAAUUUCUCNAAGAAUAUUGUCAGGUAAUGGNACCUCUGGCACGUGCUUUAGAUAUUUUGCAAGAUGAUACAGGAAUAUAUAUGGGAUACUUAUUACCAGUUCUAACUACAUUACAACAAAAAUUAGAAACUCUAAGUAAGUCUAAUCUAAUGAAUUGUCAUUCAUUGGUUUUAGCUAUCCAGCAAGGUUUAAAUA